rnacentral:lncRNA from 1 species
CUAUCAAUCGCCGAAGUAUCUAGUGGCAAAGUGUGUGCGUAAAUCUACAUUUUUAUCAAAAUAUUUUGCUUAAACAAAAGAAAAUUAGUUUUUUUAUUGUGCUUUGUGCCUUGAUGUUAAUCACCCUCUAAUAUAUCAUCUGAUGCCGCAUCGAAAAGUAAGCUCUACAUGCAGCACCAAAGACCGUUAGUUACAUAAAAUCAGAAAAUUGGUGCGGACCUGGUGGGUGAAUAUUCAUGAGGAAACAAUAAACUUUUAUCUGCCUAUGAUUCCUCAGUGUAUUUACUGUAAUCCACGUUUUUCAUAAGCUGAUUCUCGAUAUGAAGUAGAUGUCCAAAAUUUAUAAAAAUGAAAAUAGACAGAUCUAGAGUACGUAAAAGCACUUCAGAAGUACCUUUAGAAUGUCAACAGUUGAUAGAACGUCUACAACAAUGUUCACGAACAGAAUUAUUGGACGAGCUAUCCAGGAUUCAUUCUUGGACUUUUGGAAAGUGCGAGUUAUUGCACUGGGCUCAGGUUCUUGAUGUUUUUGACAGAUUGCUGGGUUCUGCUGCUGAGCGCAAUGAGGAAAAUAAAUGGAUUUUGAAAUGUGACACAUAUAAUGAGCAGGUGAGUAACCAGAAUUGUAGGCUAGGUAGUCGUUGUCUAAUGGAGGGAUUGGCUCAGAGUGAUUCACUCUGCAAUGGGAAUCCUCAACGGUAGUUACCAGCAAUGCCUGGAAACCUCCUGAAUGGUACACUCGUUAAUGAGACCCUAUGCUUUGUGCCAGUGGUAUUUAUGGAGGAGGAGUGGAGGGAGAACUCUUUUGAUUGGCUUGGAUGGUGUUGGGGUUAACUGGGUAUCAGAGAGCUGGAUAACACGUUUUGUUGAUACUGAUGAUUAACUUUUUUUGAUCGAAGUUAUUUUUCUUAAUCUCUGGCUUCUUGGUUCAUAUGCGUGUAAUAUUGGCAUGUAAUGUGAAGCACGUCUAUUCAAUCAAAUUAUCUCAUGGCGUUGGUACCCUUAGCUUUUGAAGUCAAUACAAAAGAUUAGUAUGUAUUUGUGAAGUAAGUACAGAUUUGUCGAAUAUAACUGAGAAAUUAAAUAGCACACCGUUUAUUCUACAAUUAAAGUAGUUCAAUUCGUUCAUUGAAAAAGUUGACCACCACUGCUGUAGUCAGUUUGAUUUGUCCUGACUCAUUGUUUUCGAAAAGAUUGUAUAUUAAAAUCCUUAAUGUUUCUUCAAAGAAUAUUUGUUAUCAGUGAAAUGCUUACAUUGUCUGAUAAGAAAUAAUAAUUGAUAAUUCGGAUGAGUUAUAAGUCAAAACGAUUUAUCUUCACACAUAUUAUAUGUGCUUCAGAACCCCAUUGAAUAUGAAGUGAAUCGGAAAAAUCAAAACCUUGUUUGUUUUUAAAUGUUUUCUUGAUUUUUCGAUAAUUUAGAAUGUCAAUUACAUUUGUUUUCCGAAUCUUAGUAAUACAGAGAAUUUGCAUUGAAUUAAAAAAAAACUAUCAGACAAAUUUGUCAUAAAACUAGGUUUAUUUAUAUGAGUAGACCCAACUGGGUCUCCUACUCUGUGAAGGGAAGAGGUGUCUCAUCUCUUCAUAAAAGGUUACCUAUGAUUAAAAGUUGAAUAUGUUAAGAAAUUAGAUCUUUUGAUAGAGUAGAAUUUGAAGUUCAACA